rnacentral:rRNA from 1 species
GAGCGGCGAACGGGUGAGUAACACGUGAGGAACCUGCCCUGGACUUUGGGAUAACCCUCGGAAACGGGGGCUAAUACCGAAUAUUACUGCUGGNCGCAUGGUUGGUGGUGGAAAGUUUUUCGGUCUGGGAUGGUCUCGCGGCCUAUCAGCUUGUUGGUGGGGUAAUGGCCUACCAAGGCGACGACGGGUAGCCGGCCUGAGAGGGCGACCGGCCACACUGGGACUGAGACACGGCCCAGACUCCUACGGGAGGCAGCAGUGGGGAAUAUUGCACAAUGGGCGGAAGCCUGAUGCAGCGACGCCGCGUGAGGGAUGACGGCCUUCGGGUUGUAAACCUCUUUCAGCAGGGACGAAGCGCAAGUGACGGUACCUGCAGAAGAAGCGCCGGCCAACUACGUGCCAGCAGCCGCGGUAAGACGUAGGGCGCGAGCGUUGUCCGGAUUUAUUGGGCGUAAAGAGCUCGUAGGCGGCUUGUCGCGUCGACUGUGAAAACCCGCGGCUCAACCGCGGGCCUGCAGCCGAUACGGGCAGGCUAGAGUUCGGUAGGGGAGACUGGAAUUCCU